rnacentral:tRNA from 1 species
GCGUUUUUAGUUUAACGGAUAAAACAUCAAUCUUCUAAAUUGAAUAUUGGAGGUUCGAUUCCCCCAGAACGCA